rnacentral:misc_RNA from 1 species
AAUUCUCAACCCUCAACCUCUUUUUUGAGGCUCUGGGCUUGGACUGUGGAGGUCUUGCUGGUGUAAAUCAGCUCCUCUGAAAUGCAUUAGCGGAACCGUUUGCGAUCUGCCACAAGUGUGAUAAUUAUCUACACUGGCUAGGGGGAUCGCUCUCUUAGAGUUCGGCUUCUAAUCGUCUUCGGACAAACAUAAUGAAC